rnacentral:rRNA from 1 species
UGCCCACUGAUUUUAAUUAAAGGGCUGCAGUAUUUUGACUGUACAAAGGUAGCAUAAUCAUUAGUCAUUUAAUUGGUGACUUGUAUGAAAGAUUGGAUGAAAUAUAAACUGUCUUUUAUAUAUAUUAAUUAGAAUUUAAUUUUUUAGUUAAAAAGCUUAAAUAAGUUAAAAAGACGAGAAGACCCUAUAGAGUUUUAUUUAAUUAUUUUAAUUUGGUAUUUUAUAAUUUUUAAUUAAGUUAUGGUAAUUAAAUUUAGUUGGGGUGAUAGAAAAAUUAAAUAAACUUUUUUUUUUAUUUUUACAUAAAUAAAUGAUUAAAUGAUCCAUUAUUAAUGAUUAUAAGAUUAAAUUACCUUAGGGAUAACAGCGUAAUUUUAUUUUUUAGUUCACAUAAAAAAUAGAGUUUGCGACCUCGAUGUUGGAUUAAGAUAAAAUUUAAAUGUAGAAGUUUAAAAUUUUUGA